UUUCCGUAGGUGAACCUGCGGAGGGAUCAUUACCUAUUUAACAACUAACAACCUCCAGCGAACAUACUCACCGUUGCUUUGGCGGGACCGCCCCGCCGCCCCCGGGGUCAUGGAACCAGUCGCCUGGCGGAGGUCCCAAAUUCUUGCUGACACCAUAGCGGCAUAUUCUUUGUCUCACAAUAAAAAUGCAACAAAACUUUCAACAACGGAUCAUUUAGCUCUGACAUCGAUUGAAACCGAAGCAGAACAGAUGACCACAAGUCUGAACUUCGGUCACUC
rnacentral:misc_RNA from 1 species